AGCCUCAUAGCGCAAUUGGAAGCGCGGAAGACUUUGAAUCUUCGUCUGUCGUGGUUCGAGUCCACGUGAGGCUG
rnacentral:tRNA from 1 species